GAAAAAGUUAUAGAGGCUAUAGAGCUGGCUUGAAACCAGCUUCAGAAGGUUCGAUUCCUUCCUUUUUUA
rnacentral:tRNA from 1 species